AAAAUCACUGGCCUGAAAUCAAGGUGUCAUCUAACCUCUCUCUUAAAAGGACACUUGUGUCUACAUUAGGGUCCACCCUGAAAAGCCGGGAUAAUCUCCCCAUCUCAAAGGCCUUCAUUUACUCACAGCUGCAAAGACUUUCACGUAUAACAUUCACAGGUCCCAGGGAUCAGGACCUAAUGUCUUUGGGGCCCGUUAUUUGCCUACUACAGCUCCACAGAGGUAACACAGCUUAAGAGGGCCCUGCCUCCAGCCAGCCCGUGGGCACCGCCGUUGCCUGAGACCAGUGGGAGGCACAGCACCUCUUUCUCCACAAACCAGCCCAUCCUGGGAAGGGGUCUUUUUGCCAGGCUCCUCGGAGAGGCGGGAAGCAGGCUCUGCAGUGGAGGUGGUGCGGUCUGAGACUCCACGGAAACUGGCUAGGACAGAAUUGGGGAGGUGCGGCCAUGGAGGCCCAGGGAGCCGGGAGGAUUUUCAACUGGAGUCGACCUAGCACAACAGCUCUGCAUUUCCUCAAUCCCUACCCCUAGCGCCUUCCUGUCCUUGUUAUUAUUCACAUUUUACAAAUGAGGAAAACGGCUCAGAGGGGUGAUUUUGUCAUUUCUUGUCUCUUCCUCUUGGCAUUUAACAGUGAAAUAAGGACGGUUUCAUCUUCCCUUAUUAGACCAGCUUGCACAGGAAGUGGCUCCUCCCAAGCUGUGCACUUGCUGCUUCUGUAAAGUUGGCCGCCGCAAGCCUGGGCACAGGGGCCCUGGAGUCAGGUGGCGUUUGACUCAUUCGGGAUCUAUGGGGCCUCAUUCCACAGCGAAUUCGAGUAAAGCAGAGGAACAGGGAGCCAGCCCCGCCUUCUCAGCACAAAGAGUGGCGAGCUCCCUCUUUAGAACCAAGAAACCUUCUGCCGUGAAACCUGGGGGCUCUAGGGGCAGAUCGGGAAGCCGCAGAGCCUCCUGCCAUGUCUGGAAUCCCCAAAGAAUCCCAAAAUGGAAAAAACACGGACGUGGGUGUGGAGAGAAUCUUCUAAUCUCAAUUUUGUGACUUCAGGCAAAUCACUUAAAACCUCUAAGAACCUGUUUCCUUGUCUGUAAAAUGGGCGUAGAAAAGGCAGGCGUGACUAGGAAGACAGCUACGCAUGCGCCGGCCGGCGUUCCACAAGCCUUCAACCUUCGUUUCCUGACAUUCCACUAAGGGCUAACCACGUGCUACCCGGCCAGGUGGGCCCUAGGCCGGGGGUCUUCCACCUCCCCUGCUCCCCACUUCCUCAGGCCGUCCUCGGAGGCCCUGCCCCCAACCACCCAAUGCCCUUAAGGUCCGGCAUCCCAGCCUCGUCGAGUCAGAUCGCGGAGCGCUGGACGGACGCCGCGGCCACAGAGCC
rnacentral:lncRNA from 1 species